CGAAUGUCUAGUGUAGCUGAUUUUUGUGCUCGUGCGCUCGCUUACUCGUUGACAGUGUUUCACUAGAUUAUAUGAUUUUUACCAGAUAUCUU